rnacentral:misc_RNA from 1 species
GAAGUGCGACAAGUGUCAUGACUUGCAGAUUCCCGAGAGCUGACAAAUUUCUGAAUGCAAAUGGCGGCCGCUAGCAACGGCCAUGUAUCGCAGAGUGUAGUUGUUCCUACUCAUCAUCCCUCAACAAUCACUUGAUUGUUGCCUCGGGGACCUGCGCUUGCGACGAUCGCGCGAGCGUGAAAACGAGGAGCGUCGAGGCGAGUUCGCUCGACUCGACGACUUCGGAAGAACCCUUCCAGGAGUUUUGCUCCCUCACCACUUUUGACAGCCACCUCUGCGAUGCAGGAGAACCCGCUGAACUUAA